rnacentral:rRNA from 1 species
UACAGAGGUCUCAAGCGUUGUUCGGAUUCAUUGGGCGUAAAGGGUGCGUAGGUGGCGCCGUAAGUCAGGUGUGAAAUUUCGGAGCUUAACUCCGAAACUGCAUUUGAUACUGCGGUGCUUGAGGACUGGAGAGGAGACUGGAAUUCACGGUGUAGCAGUGAAAUGCGUAGAGAUCAUGAGGAAGACCAGUGGCGAAGGCGGGUCUCUGGACAGUUCCUGACACUGAGACACGAAGGCCAGGGGAGCAAACGGG